rnacentral:rRNA from 1 species
GACGAACGCUGGCGGCGUGCUUAACACAUGCAAGUCGAACGGAAAGGCACUGCUUUUGUGGGGUGCUCGAGUGGCGAACGGGUGAGUAACACGUGAGUAACCUGCCCUUGACUUUGGGAUAACUUCAGGAAACUGGGGCUAAUACCGGAUAGGAGCUCCUGCUGCAUGGUGGGGGUUGGAAAGUUUCGGCGGGUGUGGAUGGACGCGCGGCUUAUCAGCUUGUUGGUGGGGUAGUGGCUUACCAAGGCUUUGACGGGUAGCCGGCCUGAGAGGGUGACCGGCCACAUUGGGACUGAGAUACGGCCCAGACGCCAACGGGAGGCAGCAGUGGGGAAUAUUGCACAAUGGGCGGAAGCCUGAGACAGCAACGCCGCGUGCGGGAUGACGGCCUUCGGGUUGUAAACCGCUUUCGCCUGUGACGAAGCGUGAGUGACGGUAAUGGGUAAAGAAGCACCGGCUAACUACGUG